CCUACGGGGUGCAGCAGUGAGGAAUAUUGGUCAAUGGACGAGAGCCUGAACCAGCCAAGUAGCGUGAAGGAUGACUGCCCUAUGGGUUGUAAACUUCUUUUAUAUGGGAAUAAAAUGUUCCACGUGUGGGAUUUUGUAUGUACCCUAUGAAUAAGGAUCGGCUCACUCCGUGCCAGCAGCCGCGGUAAUACGGAGGAGCCGAGCGUUUUUCGGAUUUUUUGGGUUUAAAGGGAGCGUAAGUGGAUUGUUAAGUCAGUUGUGAAAGUUUGCGGCGCAAACGUAACAUUGCAGUUGAAACUGGCAGUCUUGAGUAGAGUAGAGGUGGGCGGAAUUCGUGGUGUAGCGGUGAAAUGCUUAGAUAUCACGAAGAACUCCGAUUGCGAAGGCAGUUCACUGGACUGCAACUGACACUGAGGCUCGAAAGUGUGGGUAUCAAACAGGAUUAGAUACCCUUGUAGUC
rnacentral:rRNA from 1 species